rnacentral:misc_RNA from 1 species
GAUGAAGAACGUAGCGAAAUGCGAUACUUGGUGUGAAUUGCAGAAUCCCGUGAACCAUCGAGUCUUUGAACGCAAGUUGCGCCCGAAGCCAUUAGGCCGAGGGCACGCCUGCCUGGGCGUCACACGUCGUUGCCCCCCCAUCUACUCCUUCGGGAUUGCGGGGGGCGGAUGAUGGCCUCCCGUGCGCCUCGCCGCGCGGUUGGCAUAAAUGCCAAGUCCUCGGCGACGCACGCCACGACAAUCGGUGGUUGCGAAACCUCGGUUGCCCGUCGUGUGCGGUCGUCGCGCAUCGAGGGCUCGAAAAAAUUGCCGGGUUCCGGCUCGGCUUUCAACGCGACCCCAGGUCAGGCGGGGUUACCCGCUGAAUUUAAGCAUAUCAGUAAGCGGAGGA